AGUGAACGCUGGCGGUAGGCCUAACACAUGCAAGUCGAACGGCAGCACAGUAAGAGCUUGCUCUUACGGGUGGCGAGUGGCGGACGGGUGAGGAAUACAUCGGAAUCUACUUUUUCGUGGGGGAUAACGUAGGGAAACUUACGCUAAUACCGCAUACGACCUACGGGUGAAAGCAGGGGAUCUUCGGACCUUGCGCGAUUGAAUGAGCCGAUGUCGGAUUAGCUAGUUGGCGGGGUAAAGGCCCACCAAGGCGACGAUCCGUAGCUGGUCUGAGAGGAUGAUCAGCCACACUGGAACUGAGACACGGUCCAGACUCCUACGGGAGGCAGCAGUGGGGAAUAUUGGACAAUGGGCGCAAGCCUGAUCCAGCCAUACCGCGUGGGUGAAGAAGGCCUUCGGGUUGUAAAGCCCUUUUGUUGGGAAAGAAAAGCAGCAGGUUAAUACCCCGCUGUUCUGACGGUACACAAAGAAUAAGCACCGGCUAACCUCGUG
rnacentral:rRNA from 1 species